AACGAACGCUGGCGGCAUGCCUAACACAUGCAAGUCGAACGAGACCUUCGGGUCUAGUGGCGCACGGGUGCGUAACGCGUGGGAACCUGCCCUUAGGUUCGGAAUACCUCACCGAAGGGGGUGCUAAUACCGGUUAAUGUCUUCGGACCAAAGAUUUAUCGCCUUUGGAUGGGCCCGCGUUGGAUUAGCUAGUUGGUAGGGUAAAAGCCUACCAAGGCGACGAUCCAUAGCUGGUCUGAGAGUAUGAUCAGCCACACUGGGACUGAGACACGGCCCAGAAUCCUACGGGAGGCAGCAGUGGGGAAUAUUGGACAAUGGGCGAAAGCCUGAUCCAGCAACGCCGCGUGAGUGAUGAAGGCCUUAGGGUUGUAAAGCUCUUUUACCCGGGAUGAUAAUGACAGUACCGGGAGAAUAAGCUCCGGCUAACUCCGUG
rnacentral:rRNA from 1 species